GGUCGAAGUCGAAGCGGUCCUCGUGGUCGGGGUCGAUGGUCUGGAUGAACAGCUUCCACUCCGGGAAGUUGCCGGCGGCGAUGGAGUCGUAGAGGUCCUGCGUGGCGUGGCUGUGGUUGGUCCCGCCGACGGUGACGGCCUCGUCGUCGAGCAGCGACUUGACGCCGCAGGUGGGCUUCCAGUGGAACUUGACGUAGUGCGACUUGCCGGCGCGGUUGACGAGCGUGUAGGUGUUGACGCCGGAGCCGUCCAUGUGGCGGUAGUCGGCGGGGAUGCCGAUGUCAUCGAAGAGGAAGGUGAACAUGUGGAGGCUCUCCGGGUGGUGGGAGAAGAAGUCGAGGAUGCGCCAGUUCUCCUGGACGUGCGACUUGGGGUUGGGCUUGAGCGAGUGCACCAUGUCCGGGAACUUCAUGCCGUCGCGGAUGAAGAAGACGGGGAAGUUGUUGCCGACGAGGUCCCAGUUGCCCUCCCGGGUGUAGAACUUGAUGGCGAAGCCACGCGGGUCGCGGAGGGUCUCCGGGCUGCCGCGCUCGUGGAUGACGGUGGAGAAGCGGACGAUGACCGGGGUCUGGACGCCCGGGGCGCGGAGGAAGUCGGCGCAGGUGAGGUGGGUGAUGUCGUGGGUGACCUCGAAGAAGCCCUUGGCGCUGGCGCCGCGGGCGUGCACCACGCGCUCCGGGAUACGCUCCCUGUCGAAGUUGGCCAGCUUCUCAACCAGGUGGUAGUCCUCCAGAAGGAUCGGGCCUGAAUUUUCAGUGUUCCCAGUUCAGUUCAGUUCAUCGAUCACCACUCGACUUGAAUUAAACUGACAAACAUGCUACGGAACACUAUCGUAAAAUCGUAAUUAGUACUAAUUUACUGUAGUGAAUUGCUCCCCACGGAGUCUGGACCUAGCUGAGAUGUACAGAAUCGUAUGAAAUUCAUGUGCUCUAACAAACGCAACAGUUUCAAUUUGUAGGAGGAACUAGGAAACAAUUCAAUUUUCAAAUGAUUCCGCCUGUAGCUUGAAAACACAACAGGUUCUAAUCUUCUGGACAUGGUGUUAUAAGUUGUAACCAAAUACUAUCAAAGUAUUUUUUAGGAAAAAAAACAAAUGAAUCCAGACUAGCACAGAUUUACUGGGAUGACGUUCUUGAAUUUAAACUGGUAGCAGCAAAGGCUACACCACAGAAGACACAAAAAGUAAUCUCAAACCACAGGAGGAAGGGGGAUUGGCGUGGUCAUACGUACCUCGGGAGCCGACGGUGAGCGAGUUGUUGUUGUUCCAUACGGGGGCGCCGGAGUUGGUGCUCCACAGCGGGCCGUUGAACGAGCUCG
rnacentral:lncRNA from 1 species